rnacentral:rRNA from 1 species
UACGUAGGGUGCGAGCGUUGUCCGGAUUUAUUGGGCGUAAAGGGCUCGUAGGCGGUUUGUCGCGUCUGCUGUGAAAACUGGGGGCUCAACCCCCAGCCUGCAGUGGGUACGGGCAGACUAGAGUGCGGUAGGGGAGAUUGGAAUUCCUGGUGUAGCGGUGGAAUGCGCAGAUAUCAGGAGGAACACCGAUGGCGAAGGCAGAUCUCUGGGCCGUAACUGACGCUGAGGAGCGAAAGCAUGGGAGCGAACAGG